UACGUAGGGUGCGAGCGUUAAUCGGAAUUACUGGGCGUAAAGCGUGCGCAGGCGGUUUGUUAAGACAGGUGUGAAAUCCCCGGGCUUAACCUGGGAAUGGCGCUUGUUACUGGCAGGCUAGAGUGUGUCAGAGGGAGGUAGAAUUCCACGUGUAGCAGUGAAAUGCGUAGAGAUGUGGAGGAAUACCGAUGGCGAAGGCAGCCUCCUGGGAUAACACUGACGCUCAUGCACGAAAGCGUGGGGAUCAAACAGG
rnacentral:rRNA from 1 species